rnacentral:rRNA from 1 species
AUUGAACGCUGGCGGCAGGCUUAACACAUGAAAGUCGAGCGAGCGGCGGACGGGUGAGUAAUGUCUGGGAAAUUGCCUGAUGGAGGGGGCUAACUAGUGGCAACGGUAGCUAAUACCGCAUACUAUCAGUUGUCACCAGAUGGGAUUAGCUAGUCGCUGGGUGACUGGCUUGUCUAGGCGACGAUGCCUAGCUGGUCUGAGAGGAUGACGCGACACACUGGAACGGAGACACGGUCCAGACUCCUACGGGAGGCAGCAGUGGGGAAUAUUGCACAAUGGGCGCAAGUCAGAUGCAGCCAUGCCGCGUGUGUGAAGAAGGCCUUCGGUUGGUAAAGCACUUUCAGCGAAGAGGCGUUACUCACAGAAGAAGCACCGGCUAACUCCGUGCCAGCAGCCGCGGUAAUAC